AGUGUCCGACAUGUGUCGGACACGUUGGGGACAUGCUAAGGACACGUUAAGGAUACGCUGAGGACUAUUUUUUUAACAAACCUAAAGUUGAUAAAUUUGAUAAAAUUAAAUAUUUGAUACAAAAUACAUAUUAAAUAUUUAAAAAUCUGACACAUAAUAAAUAUAUAAAAUUAUAUUUUUUGCACGUGUCUCUAAUGUGUCGUGUCCUGCAUUUUUUAAAAAUUUAUGUGUCUAUCGUAUCAUGUGUCUGUGCUUCUUAGUUCUUCAUUAAAUUGUGUUUUAGGGUGAUACCAUGCAUAGCUGAUAAGUUGUCUGUCUACUUUAGUACUGAUAGUUGCUGAUGUUUCCUCCCAUCUAUUGUGAAAGGAACAGUUAGUAAAUAUUGCAAAUUAUCUUGGUUGAUUGAACUCUUCUGAUGGAUGAUGAGGUAGAUGUCUGAUUAUCUUUUGUACAUCCGAAGUAGAAGGUGCUCUUCUACUUUUGUCUGCCUUUUGUUUUGCCGGUCUUCGAGGUCUAAGACUUCUGUUAUUUAGAACGUGGAUCGUUUUGAUAUGUGGAACGAGAAUGGAAAUAGGGUACGCCACAUGUUUUAAAAUGUAAUAUAAUAGUUGUAAACUUGUAUAUAUUACAAUUGAGAAUUUAAGGUAUAUCUAGGGUAAUUUUCUUUGAACUAUUAGACAUUCAAUAAAUAUAGUUUUCAUGUAGCAAAA